UAUAAUAGAUUCUAAAAUUUAUAUAUUAAAUAAACAUACUAAAUAUAUAAUUAAAAUUAAAAUUAAAACAAAAAACUCGGGCGUAGCCCGCGCCGACCCUAGUACAUCUAUAUAUUUGUCAUGGUAAAAUGAUAAUGUGUUAAUGUAAGUUUCUUAGGGCUUGAACUUCCGUUUCCAUAGAGAUAUCUCCUGGUGGGGGUUUCUCUCUCAUCCCUCCGUUCUCUCUCUAAUAUCUUUCACGGAGGUGAUGAUGAGAGUUAUCAAAACUUUUUGUUUGUCUGAUCAAUAGAUCAGAUGGUUGUCUCUGAGAAGCGGGGGUUCCCAUAAACACUGUCUUCACCAGCUUUUGACUCCGGGAAGUGAUGGCUAAAUUAGCGUCGACUUCGCCGGCUCUUGCCUCCGGGAAGCGGUGGCUUCCUUAGCACCGUCUUCUUCGGCUUCUGUCUCGUAUCUCACCAUCCUUUGCGGCGGUGUUGUUAGCGAGUUUGGAACUGUUUCAUACUGGUUCCUCUGUUUUUGGUGAAUCUGAUCUCUUAGAUCGAUCGCAGCGCUCGAUUCCUCUUUAUCGAAGUGGUGGUUUGUUAACUGAUGUCGGCUUCGAUUCCGUUCUCAACGGGUGCUCUUCUAUGAGCUGUCUCCCUUCGUCGUUGGACGUUUUCGUCUUCCGGUGGUCGGAGUUCCGGGGAAGAAUUGUCGUCGGCGUUGAAGCGGUGGAUUGACUCAAGCGGCACGUGUUCUUUUCUCUUCCAGAGCUUGACGCGUGUUUCGAGCUUUCUCUCGUGUCGUCUUUACCGCAAAGGCAGUUGUUGCCUUGAAAAACUUUGGGCCGCUACUCAUGGGCCUCCUCUUUCUUUUGCGUUUGGGCCAACUGUUUGCAUCGUUGGACCUUUUCAGUCUAGCCCUUCUCUUGGGUCUUUAUUAUAGAUUAUGAACUUGUUUAAUAAAUUUCAAAGUGAUAAAAAAAAAAAAAAAAACUUCCGUUUCA